rnacentral:rRNA from 1 species
AGUGGGGAAUAUUGCACAAUGGGCGCAAGCCUGAUGCAGCGACGCCGCGUGGGGGAUGACGGCCUUCGGGUUGUAAACCUCUUUCAGUAGGGACGAAGCGCAAGUGACGGUACCUACAGAAGAAGCACCGGCCAACUACGUGCCAGCAGCCGCGGUAAUACGUAGGGUGCGAGCGUUGUCCGGAAUUACUGGGCGUAAAGAGCUCGUAGGUGGUUUGUCGCGUUGUUCGUGAAAUCUCACAACUCAAUUGUGAGCGUGCGGGCGAUACGGGCAGACUGGAGUACUGCAGGGGAGACUGGAAUUCCUGGUGUAGCGGUGGAAUGCGCAGAUAUCAGGAGGAACACCGGUGGCGAAGGCGGGUCUCUGGGCAGUAACUGACGCUGAGGAGCGAAAGCGUGGGGAGCGAA